rnacentral:rRNA from 1 species
AGUGAACGCUGGCGGUAGGCCUAACACAUGCAAGUCGAACGGCAGCACAGUAAGAGCUUGCUCUUACGGGUGGCGAGUGGCGGACGGGUGAGGAAUACAUCGGAAUCUACUUUUUCGUGGGGGAUAACGUAGGGAAACUUACGCUAAUACCGCAUACGACCUACGGGUGAAAGCAGGGGAUCUUCGGACCUUGCGCGAUUGAAUGAGCCGAUGUCGGAUUAGCUAGUUGGCGGGGUAAAGGCCCACCAAGGCGACGAUCCGUAGCUGGUCUGAGAGGAUGAUCAGCCACACGGGAACUGAGACACGGUCCAGACUCCUACGGGAGGCAGCAGUGGGGAAUAUUGGACGAUGGGCGGAAGCCUGAUCCAGCCAUACGGCGUGGGUGAAGAAGGCCUUCGGGUUGUAAAGCCCUUUUGUUGGGAAAGAAAAGCAGCACGUUAAUACCCCGCUGUUCUGACGGUACCCAAAGAAUAAGCACCGGCUAACUUCGUG